CCUACGGGAGGCUGCAGUGAGGAAUAUUGGUCAAUGGGCGAGAGCCUGAACCAGCCAAGUCGCGUGAAGGAUGACGGAUCUAUGGUUUGUAAACUUCUUUUAUAUGGGAAUAAAGUGAGGAACGUGUUCCUUUUUGUAUGUACCAUAUGAAUAAGCAUCGGCUAACUCCGUGCCAGCAGCCGCGGUAAUACGGAGGAUGCGAGCGUUAUCCGGAUUUAUUGGGUUUAAAGGGUGCGUAGGUGGUUAAUUAAGUCAGCGGUGAAAGGUUGUGGCUCAACCAUAAAAUUGCCGUUGAAACUGGUUGACUUGAGUAUAUUUGAGGUAGGCGGAAUGCGUGGUGUAGCGGUGAAAUGCAUAGAUAUCACGCAGAACUCCGAUUGCGAAGGCAGCUUACUAAACUAUAACUGACACUGAAGCACGAAAGCGUGGGGAUCAAACAGGAUUAGAUACCCCGGUAGUC
rnacentral:rRNA from 1 species